rnacentral:rRNA from 1 species
GACGAACGCUGGCGGCGUGCUUAACACAUGCAAGUCGAACGGUGAACUGAAGCUUGCUUCGGGGAUCAGUGGCGAACGGGUGAGUAACACGUGGGCAACCUGCCCCUGACUCUGGGAUAACUUUUCGAAAGGGAAGCUAAUACCGGAUAUGACCAUGUUGGGCAUCUGAUGUGGUGGAAAGUUUUUCGGUCAGGGAUGGGCCCGCGGCCUAUCAGCUUGUUGGUGGGGUAAUGGCCUACCAAGGCGACGACGGGUAGCCGGCCUGAGAGGGCGACCGGCCACACUGGAACUGAGACACGGUCCAGACUCCUACGGGAGGCAGCAGUGGGGAAUAUUGCGCAAUGGGCGAAAGCCUGACGCAGCGACGCCGCGUGAGGGAUGACGGCCUUCGGGUUGUAAACCUCUUUCAGCAGGGACGAAUUGUGACGGUACCUGCAGAAGAAGCACCGGCUAACUACGUG